rnacentral:rRNA from 1 species
UUAAGUAAGGAAGGGCGUACGGCGAAUGCCUUGCCACUCGAAACUGAAGAAGGACGCGCCAAACUGCGAAAAGCUCCGUGAAGCUGUAAGGAAGCGAAGAAGCGGAGGUGUCCGAAUGGGGGAACCCGGCAGCAGACAUGAGCUGUCAUCUGCAGGUGAAUACAUGGCCUGCAAGAGAGGUACCCGGCGAACUGAAACAUCUAAGUAGCCGGAGGAAAAGAAAACAACAGUGAUUCCCUGAGUAGCGGCGAGCGAAAGGGGAGAAGCCCAAACCGGUUGAAGGACCGGGGUUGAAGGACCAUGACAUGGCAAGAACGAGGAUAGGAGAACGGGAUCGAAAGCCCGGCCGAAGAAGGUGAAAGCCCUGUAACCGAAAUCCGAGUAAAGCCUAAUGGGAUCCUGAGUACGGCGAGACACGAGAAAUCUUGUCGGAAGCAGGCGGGACCAUCCGCCAAGGCUAAAUAUAAACGAGUGAGCGAUAGUGAACCAGUACCGUGAGGGAAAGGUGAAAAGAACCGCGGGAGCGGAGUGAAAGAGAACCUGAAACCGUAUGCCUACAAGAAGUCAGAGCCCGUUAAGGGGUGAUGGCGUGCCUUUUGUAGAAUGAACCGGCGAGUUGCGACAGACUGCGAGGUUAAGGAGGAAAGACCGGAGCCGAAGCGAAAGCGAGUCUUAAGAGGGCGAAAGUAGGAUGUUGCAGACCCGAAACCGGGUGAUCUAGCCAUGAGCAGGUUGAAGUUGAGGUGAAACUCAAUGGAGGACCGAACCGACUACCGUUGAAAAGUUAGCGGAUGACUUGUGGCUAGGGGAGAAAUUCCAAUCGAACCCGGAGAUAGCUGGUUCUCCCCGAAAUAGCUUUAGGGCUAGCGUCGGAAAGAACCUUAGUGAAGGUAGAGCACUGAAUGUGUGAUGGCCCCAUCCCGGGGUACUGAAUACAAUCAAACUGCGAAUGUCAUUAAGGAUGUCCGGCAGUCAGACUGUGAGUGAUAAGGUCCAUGGUCAAGAGGGAAACAGCCCAGACCGCCAGUUAAGGUCCCAAAAUACAGGCUAAGUGGAAAAGGAUGUGGGGAUGCCCAGACAACUAGGAGGUUGGCUCAGAAGCAGCCAUCCUUUAAAGAGUGCGUAACAGCUCACUAGUCGAGUGACCCUGCGCCGAAAAUGUACCGGGGCUAAGCCUGAUACCGAAACUGCGGAUUGUAGGAAACUAUAGUGGUAGGGGAGCGUUGUAUACGAGCAGAAGCCGUACCGUGAGGAGCGGUGGAUUGUAUAGAAGUGAGAAUGCCGGUGUGAGUAGCGAGAUGUAGGUGAGAAUCCUACACACCGAAAGCCCAAGGAUUCCAGGGGAAGGUUCGUCCGCCCUGGGUAAGUCGGGACCUAACGCGAGGCCGAAAGGCGUAGUGGAUGGAAAGCAGGCGAAAGAUUCCUGCACCCGUAUAUGGAGCGAAGGAGUGACGGAGACGGAUAGUGUGACCCUCUUAAUGGAUUGAGGGCGAAGCGAAGCGGCUGGUUACCAGGCAAAUCCGGUAACCAUAAGGCUAGAGCGUGACAGGUAAGCGAAAUCUUAGGAAAGUAGCGAAGCACAUGAUGACGGCUUCCAGGAAAAGCUUCUGGCAAUGCAUAUGCGGCCCGUACCAAAACCGACACAGGUGGGCAGGGAGAGAAUCCCGAGGUGAGCGAGAGAACUGUUGCCAAGGAACUCGGCAAAAUGACUCCGUAAGUUAGCGAGAAGGAGUGCUUAAGCAAUUAAGCCGCAGUGAAGAGGCCCAAGCGACUGUUUAACUAAAACACAGCUCUCUGCGAAGUCGCAAGACGAAGUAUAGGGGGUGACACCUGCCCGGUGCUGGAAGGUUAAGAGGAUCUGUUAAGAGCGAUCUGAAGCAGUGAUCCGAAGCCCCAGUGAACGGCGGCCGUAACUAUAACGGUCCUAAGGUAGCGAAAUUCCUUGUCAGGUAAGUUCUGACCCGCACGAAAGGUGUAACGAUUUGGGCGCUGUCUCGGCAGCAGACUCGGUGAAAUCUUAGUACCUGUGAAAAUGCAGGUUACCCGCAACUAGACGGAAAGACCCCAUGGAGCUUUACUGCAGCCUGAUAUUGAAUUCUGGUCAUACAUGUACAGGAUAGGUGGGAGACAAAGAGACGUGCACGCCAGUGUACGAGGAGUCGACGUUGGGAUACCACUCUUGUGUGACCGGGGUUCUAACCUGGUAUCGAGAACAGGUACGGGGAGAGUGUCAGGUGGGCAGUUUGACUGGGGCGGUCGCCUCCCAAAGAGUAACGGAGGCGCCCAAAGGUACGCUCAGAUUGGAUGGAAACCAAUCGUCGAGUGCAAUUGCAGAAGCGUGCUUGACUGUGAGACAGACAAGUCGAACAGGGACGAAAGUCGGGAAUAGUGAUCCGGCGGUGCCGAAUGGAAGGGCCGUCGCUCAACGGAUAAAAGCUACCCUGGGGAUAACAGGCUGAUCUCGCCCAAGAGUUCACAUCGACGGCGAGGUUUGGCACCUCGAUGUCGGCUCAUCGCAUCCUGGAGCUGGAUUCGGUUCCAAGGGUUGGGCUGUCCGCCCAUUAAAGCGGUACGCGAGCUGGGUUCAGAACGUCGUGAGACAGUUCGGUCCCUAU